UACGUAGGGGGCAAGCGUUGUCCGGAUUUACUGGGCGUAAAGAGCGUGUAGGCGGCCAAACAGGUCCGUUGUGAAAACUCGAGGCUCAACCUCGAGACGUCGGCGGAAACCAUCUGGCUAGAGUCCGGAAGAGGAGAGUGGAAUUCCUGGUGUAGCGGUGAAAUGCGCAGAUAUCAGGAAGAACACCCGUGGCGAAGGCGGCUCUCUGGGACGGUACUGACGCUGAGACGCGAAAGCGUGGGGAGCGAACAGG
rnacentral:rRNA from 1 species